UACGGAAGGCAGCAGUGGGGAAUAUUGCACAAUGGGCGCAAGCCUGAUGCAGCCAUGCCGCGUGUAUGAAGAAGGCCUUCGGGUUGUAAAGUACUUUCAGCGGGGAGGAAGGGAGUAAAGUUAAUACCUUUGCUCAUUGACGUUACCCGCAGAAGAAGCACCGGCUAACUCCGUGCCAGCAGCCGCGGUAAUACGGAGGGUGCGAGCGUUAAUCGGAAUUACUGGGCGUAAAGGGCACGCAGGCGGUUAAUUAAGUUGGAUGUGAAAUCCCCGGGCUUAACCUGGGAAUGGCAUUCAAGACUGGUUAGCUAGAGUCUUGUAGAGGGGGGUAGAAUUCCAUGUGUAGCGGUGAAAUGCGUAGAGAUGUGGAGGAAUACCGGUGGCGAAGGCGGCCCCUGGACAAAGACUGACGCUCAUGUGCGAAAGCUGGGGAGCAAACAGGGAUUAGAUACC
rnacentral:rRNA from 1 species